rnacentral:rRNA from 1 species
UUUCCACGGGAGGCAGCAGUAGGGAAUAUUGCGCAAUGGACGCAAGUCUGACGCAGCGACGCCGCGUGGGUGAUGAAGGCCUUCGGGUCGUAAAGCCCUGUCGGAAGGGAAGAAAAAUAUCAUGGCUAACAUCCAUGGUACUUGACGGUACCUUCAAAGGAAGCACCGGCUAACUACGUGCCAGCAGCCGCGGUAAUACAUAGGGUGCUAGCGUUGUUCGGAAUCAUUGGGCGUAAAGCGCGUGUAGGUGGUUAGUUAAGUCGGGUGUGAAAUCCCUGGGCUCAACCGAGGAAGUGCAUCCGAAACUAGCUGGCUAGAAGAGGUAGAGGAAGGUGGAAUUCCUAGUGUAGAGGUGAAAUUCGUAGAUAUUAGGAGGAAUACCGGUGGCGAAGGCGGCCUUCUGGACCGUUCUUGACACUGAGACGCGAAAGCGUGGGGAGCAAACAGGAUUAGAUACCCUGGUAGUCCACGCCGUAAACGAUGGGUACUAGAUGUUGCAGGAAUUGACCCCUGCAGUGUCGACGCUAACGCAUUAAGUACCCCGCCUGGGAAGUACGGCCGCAAGGUUAAAACUCAA